UGACAGGAAGCCGGGCAUACACUUGUUGCUCCAUAUAACGCGCUCCCCCCGGCAAUGACAGGACACAGCUGCAAGGAGCAGUGAGGAGGUGGCGUAUCCCCACUGGAGCCGGGGCUGUAAGCAGAGACAAGAGCUAAAAGAAUUUGGAGUAAAAGUUGGAGAUUUUCCUAUCCUUGGAGACGGAAAAUAUAGAUUUUAUGGAAGACAGGAGGCGAGCAUUAUAUGCAAUUCUUUCUUUACUGCAAAUUAUAGCAGCAACAUUAAAACGUUUAACAUCAGUGUGAAGCAAAAAACUUUACAAUGAGGGUGUACAACCAAGUGUGCUAUACAUAACCAUAACCAAUGAGGAUGCAGCUUAGCUAAUAUAAGGCACUGCAUAAUAAGCCACACCCUCUUUCUUUGGCAAUUUAAAUAACUGAAAAAUAGUAUAAAUAGAAAAUAAAAAGAGAAAGAAAACAACAAGCAGAUUGCCAAAUUCAGGAACAGUCUAUUACGUCAGGAAAAAAAUCCAGAAGUCCAACAUAACGAAUAUAACACGAGUGUUCGAGAAUGUUGAAUUCAACGAAGGAUAUCACAUGAUGAAGAUCAGUAAGCAGAGAUUCCAUUGACCGCCUCAGAU